GUUUCCUUAUUUUUUUUUCUUUCAAAUUUUCUUUUUUGGUAAAUUUCUGAUCAUGAACUAUCCACGUUUUAGGAUUCAUUCAAUUUCGAUCAUCUGAUUUUUCGAUUAACCUUUCAACUCAAGGAUUGUCAGUUGAAUCAUUGAUUUUCUGUAAACCCUAAAAAAUAUGUACAGCAAUUUCAAGGAACAAGCGAUCGAGUACGUCAAGCAAGCGGUUCAAGAGGACAAUGCUGGCAACUACAACAAGGCUUUCCCUCUCUACAUGAAUGCCCUCGAGUACUUCAAGACCCAUCUCAAGUACGAGAAGAACCCAAAGAUCCGAGAAGCUAUCACCCACAAAUUCACCGAGUAUCUCCGCCGCGCCGAGGAGAUCCGUGCCGUUCUAGACGAAGGUGGAUCCGGGCCCCGAUCGAACGGCGAUGCAGCUGUCGCCACGAAGCCCAAGACCAAACCCAAAGACGGAGAGGGCAAAGGAGAUGGAGAGGACCCGGAGCAAUCCAAGCUCCGAGCUGGGUUAGACUCUGCUAUCGUAAGGGAAAAGCCUAACGUUAAGUGGUCCGAUGUUGCUGGCCUUGAAAGUGCCAAACAAGCGUUGCAGGAAGCUGUGAUUUUGCCCGUCAAGUUUCCACAGUUCUUCACUGGAAAGAGGCGACCGUGGCGAGCUUUUCUGCUCUAUGGGCCUCCUGGAACUGGGAAAUCGUACUUGGCCAAGGCUGUUGCUACUGAAGCAGAGUCUACCUUUUUCAGUGUGUCUUCAUCGGACUUGGUCUCGAAGUGGAUGGGUGAAAGUGAAAAGCUAGUAUCGAACCUUUUUGAGAUGGCACGUGAGAGUGCUCCGUCAAUCAUUUUCGUGGAUGAGAUAGAUUCUCUGUGUGGUCAACGUGGAGAAGGCAAUGAGAGCGAAGCUUCAAGACGUAUCAAAACAGAGCUUCUUGUGCAAAUGCAGGGCGUUGGACACAAUGAUGAGAAAGUCCUUGUGCUGGCAGCAACAAAUACACCAUAUGCUCUUGAUCAGGCUAUCCGGCGACGUUUUGAUAAGCGUAUCUACAUCCCCCUACCGGAUGUGAAGGCUCGGCAGCACAUGUUCAAAGUGCAUUUGGGAGAUACUCCUCAUAAUUUGAAUGAAGCUGAUUUUGAAUACUUAGCUCGCAAGACAGAGGGAUUUUCUGGUUCGGAUGUGGCUGUCUGUGUAGGUCAAGGAUGUUCUGUUUGAACCUGUUAGAAAAACCCAAGAUGCCAUGUUCUUCUUCAAGUCUGCUGAUGGGUCGUGGAUGCCAUGUGGGCCUAAACAAUCUGGUGCCAUUCAGAUUACAAUGCAGGAUUUAGCAGAAAAAGGGCUAGCGGAAAAGAUUAUUCCACCGCCGAUAUCAAGAACAGAUUUCGAGAAGGUACUAGCAAGACAACGACCGACAGUGAGCAAGUCUGAUCUUGAGGUUCAUGAGAGAUUCACAAAGGAAUUUGGAGAGGAAGGUUGAUGAUCAAAUGGUUCGGCAUCUCUAGUGUCAGUGAGAAGCUGAGAGUUCCCGGUUAUGUAUGUACUAAGAAGAGCUAAUCGACUCUGGUUUGAUGCAUGUCAUUUAAUCUUUUUUUUUCUCUAAUUGUGUAAAAUAUUUCAGAGAUGAUUGUUGCCUGAGAUGGUGUAGUCGGUGUCCAGAUUACACUCUUGGGUAUAUAAUAUAUUCAUAAUUUUCCCCUCUA